rnacentral:rRNA from 1 species
AGUGUAGGCGGCUAUUUAAGUCGGAUGUGAAAGCCCCGGGCUCAACCUGGGAAUUGCAUUCGAAACUGAAUAGCUAGAGUUUGGUAGAGGUAAGUGGAAUUCCGGGUGUAGCGGUGAAAUGCGUAGAUAUCCGGAGGAACAUCAGUGGCGAAGGCGGCUUACUGGACCAAAACUGACGCUGAGGCUCGAAAGCGCGGGGAGCAAACAGGAUUAGAUACCCUGGUAGUCC